GAUGAACGCGGCGGCGUGCUUAACACAUGCAAGUCGAACGAGAGAUACAGGAGGAAGUUUUCGGACGGAAUCCGGUAGAUCGAGUGGCGGACGGGUGAGUAACGCGUGGGGAACCUGCCUCAUACAGGGGGAUAACAGUUGGAAACGACUGUUAAUACCGCAUAAGACCACAGAGUCGCAUGACUCAGGGGUAAAAACUCCGGUGGUAUGAGAUGGACCCGCGUUCGAUUAGCCAGUUGGCGGGGUAACGGCCCACCAAAGCGACGAUCGAUAGCCGAUUUGAGAGAAUGACCGGCCACAUUGGGACUGAGACACGGCCCAAACUCCUGCGGGAGGCAGCAGUGGGGAAUAUUGCACAAUGGGGGGAACCCUGAUGCAGCGACGCCGCGUGAGUGAAGAAGUAUUUCGGUAUGUAAAGCUCUAUCAGCAGGGAAGAAGAUGACGGUACCUGAGUAAGAAGCCCCGCA
rnacentral:rRNA from 1 species